rnacentral:tRNA from 1 species
GGCUCUAUGGUCUAGUGGUAUGAUUCCUGCUUUGGGUAGCUAAUCUAAAGUGCAGGAGGCCCCGCGUUCGAAUCGCGGUGGAGCCC